GGGGUUGUGGCUCAGCGGUAGAGCACUCACCUGGCAUGUGCAAGGUCCUGGGUUCGAUCCUCAGCACCACA
rnacentral:tRNA from 1 species